rnacentral:rRNA from 1 species
GACCAGACUCCUACGGGAGGCAGCAGGGGGGAAUAUUGCACAAUGGGGGAAACCCUGAUGCAGCGACGCCGCGUGAGUGAAGAAGUAUUUCGGUAUGUAAAGCUCUAUCAGCAGGGAAGAAAAUGACGGUACCUGACUAAGAAGCCCCGGCUAACUACGUGCCAGCAGCCGCGGUAAUACGUAGGGGGCAAGCGUUAUCCGGAUUUACUGGGUGUAAAGGGAGCGUAGACGGCGUGGCAAGUCAGAUGUGAAAGCCCGGGGCUCAACCCCGGGACUGCAUUUGAAACUGUCAGGCUGGAGUGCAGGAGAGGUAAGUGGAAUUCCUAGUGUAGCGGUGAAAUGCGUAGAUAUUAGGAGGAACACCAGUGGCGAAGGCGGCUUACUGGACUGUAACUGACGUUGAGGCUCGAAAGCGUGGGGAGCAAACAGGAUUAGAUACCCGGGUAAAG